rnacentral:rRNA from 1 species
ACACUAUCAUUAACUGAAUCCAUAGGUUAAUGAGGCGAACCGGGGGAACUGAAACAUCUAAGUACCCCGAGGAAAAGAAAUCAACCGAGAUUCCCCCAGUAGCGGCGAGCGAACGGGGAGCAGCCCAGAGCCUGAAUCAGUGUGUGUGUUAGUGGAAGCGUCUGGAAAGGCGCGCGAUACAGGGUGACAGCCCCGUACACAAAAAUGCACAUGCUGUGAGCUCGAUGAGUAGGGCGGGACACGUGGUAUCCUGUCUGAAUAUGGGGGGACCAUCCUCCAAGGCUAAAUACUCCUGACUGACCGAUAGUGAACCAGUACCGUGAGGGAAAGGCGAAAAGAACCCCGGCGAGGGGAGUGAAAAAGAACCUGAAACCGUGUACGUACAAGCAGUGGGAGCACNNNNNNNNGUGUGACUGCGUACCUUUUGUAUAAUGGGUCAGCGACUUAUAUUCUGUAGCAAGGUUAACCGAAUAGGGGAGCCGAAGGGAAACCGAGUCUUAACUGGGCGUUAAGUUGCAGGGUAUAGACCCGAAACCCGGUGAUCUAGCCAUGGGCAGGUUGAAGGUUGGGUAACACUAACUGGAGGACCGAACCGACUAAUGUUGAAAAAUUAGCGGAUGACUUGUGGCUGGGGGUGAAAGGCCAAUCAAACCGGGAGAUAGCUGGUUCUCCCCGAAAGCUAUUUAGGUAGCGCCUCGUGAAUUCAUCUCCGGGGGUAGAGCACUGUUUCGGCAAGGGGGUCAUCCCGACUUACCAACCCGAUGCAAACUGCGAAUACCGGAGAAUGUUAUCACGGGAGACACACGGCGGGUGCUAACGUCCGUCGUGAAGAGGGAAACAACCCAGACCGCCAGCUAAGGUCCCAAAGUCAUGGUUAAGUGGGAAACGAUGUGGGAAGGCCCAGACAGCCAGGAUGUUGGCUUAGAAGCAGCCAUCAUUUAAAGAAAGCGUAAUAGCUCACUGGUCGAGUCGGCCUGCGCGGAAGAUGUAACGGGGCUAAACCAUGCACCGAAGCUGCGGCAGCGACGCUUAUGCGUUGUUGGGUAGGGGAGCGUUCUGUAAGCCUGCGAAGGUGUGCUGUGAGGCAUGCUGGAGGUAUCAGAAGUGCGAAUGCUGACAUAAGUAACGAUAAAGCGGGUGAAAAGCCCGCUCGCCGGAAGACCAAGGGUUCCUGUCCAACGUUAAUCGGGGCAGGGUGAGUCGACCCCUAAGGCGAGGCCGAAAGGCGUAGUCGAUGGGAAACAGGUUAAUAUUCCUGUACUUGGUGUUACUGCGAAGGGGGGACGGAGAAGGCUAUGUUGGCCGGGCGACGGUUGUCCCGGUUUAAGCGUGUAGGCUGGUUUUCCAGGCAAAUCCGGAAAAUCAAGGCUGAGGCGUGAUGACGAGGCACUACGGUGCUGAAGCAACAAAUGCCCUGCUUCCAGGAAAAGCCUCUAAGCAUCAGGUAACAUCAAAUCGUACCCCAAACCGACACAGGUGGUCAGGUAGAGAAUACCAAGGCGCUUGAGAGAACUCGGGUGAAGGAACUAGGCAAAAUGGUGCCGUAACUUCGGGAGAAGGCACGCUGAUAUGUAGGUGAAGUCCCUCGCGGAUGGAGCUGAAAUCAGUCGAAGAUACCAGCUGGCUGCAACUGUUUAUUAAAAACACAGCACUGUGCAAACACGAAAGUGGACGUAUACGGUGUGACGCCUGCCCGGUGCCGGAAGGUUAAUUGAUGGGGUUAGCGCAAGCGAAGCUCUUGAUCGAAGCCCCGGUAAACGGCGGCCGUAACUAUAACGGUCCUAAGGUAGCGAAAUUCCUUGUCGGGUAAGUUCCGACCUGCACGAAUGGCGUAAUGAUGGCCAGGCUGUCUCCACCCGAGACUCAGUGAAAUUGAACUCGCUGUGAAGAUGCAGUGUACCCGCGGCAAGACGGAAAGACCCCGUGAACCUUUACUAUAGCUUGACACUGAACAUUGAGCCUUGAUGUGUAGGAUAGGUGGGAGGCUUUGAAGUGUGGACGCCAGUCUGCAUGGAGCCGACCUUGAAAUACCACCCUUUAAUGUUUGAUGUUCUAACGUUGACCCGUGAUCCGGGUUGCGGACAGUGUCUGGUGGGUAGUUUGACUGGGGCGGUCUCCUCCUAAAGAGUAACGGAGGAGCACGAAGGUUGGCUAAUCCUGGUCGGACAUCAGGAGGUUAGUGCAAUGGCAUAAGCCAGCUUGACUGCGAGCGUGACGGCGCGAGCAGGUGCGAAAGCAGGUCAUAGUGAUCCGGUGGUUCUGAAUGGAAGGGCCAUCGCUCAACGGAUAAAAGGUACUCCGGGGAUAACAGGCUGAUACCGCCCAAGAGUUCAUAUCGACGGCGGUGUUUGGCACCUCGAUGUCGGCUCAUCACAUCCUGGGGCUGAAGUAGGUCCCAAGGGUAUGGCUGUUCGCCAUUUAAAGUGGUACGCGAGCUGGGUUUAGAACGUCGUGAGACAGUUCGGUCCCUAUCUGCCGUGGGCGCUGGAGAACUGAGGGGGGCUGCUCCUAGUACGAGAGGACCGGAGUGGACGCAUCACUGGUGUUCGGGUUGUCAUGCCAAUGGCACUGCCCGGUAGCUAAAUGCGGAAGAGAUAAGUGCUGAAAGCAUCUAAGCACGAAACUUGCCCCGAGAUGAGUUCUCCCUGACNGUCCUGAAGGAACGUUGAAGACGACGACGUUGAUAGGCCGGGUGUGUAAGCGCAGCGAUGCGUUGAGCUAACCGGUACUAAUGAACCGUGAGGCUUAACCUU